CUCUACUUCAGGACGGAACAAAUUAGAGUUGAAACUGCAGGGACUCCUUCUGUAGCCUCCAUCACUUCCAGAAAUACAGACAGCCUUUGGGAGAAUAAGUGUCAGCACCAAGAAAAUGGAGGGGAAAUAUAGAAGGACAUUGGAGAGGGAAGGGAGAAAGCACCUGGAAGGGAUCACAGCAGAACGUGGACUUCAUCCCACAAUCUUACACUGAAGGAAAAAGAGCUACAAAGAAUAAUGAUCCAUGAAUUCUAGAGAGGGACACACCUGCAGCAGUCUCAUUGACAAGGAAGAGCUUUAAGCACGCGCAGAGAGGACACCCCACCUGUUCCUGCGGUUCACCAAGGGUUUCAUUACCAGACUCAUAGCUGAUUGUAAUACAAGCAUGAGGAUAACAUUUUCUGCACCAGGUAACUGCACGAGGCUGGUUUUGGUUACUGUUUGGUUCCAGUCACAGUGAUAUGACAGUGAGAGAUGAAGACUGAGGAGAAGUGCAGUUGGUUUGUUGUGCAGAGGCUCUGACAGGCCAGGCUCAGCCUGCCCUGUACCCUGAAGCACUCGCAUGUGGCCUGUGACCAGCUGCAGUCAUUGUCGCCAAUGGAAAGGGAUAUUGC
rnacentral:lncRNA from 1 species